UGGAAGAAGCAAGUGUCCUAAGCACCUAACUCUAGUUUUGUUACAAGUAUAACUUAGGAGAAAAAAUUGGUAGAAAUAAUACAGUAUGUUGCUAAUUUGUAACCUACUUUAAACUCUGAUUUAUAGCCUCACAUACAGUAUUCAGGGCACAGAAAUCUUUUGAUUGACUCAAGUAAGUUUCGGCUUCCGUGUAACUUCAAGUUAAAGUUAAUUCAGCUCUUCUUUAUCUCUAUACUCUCUUAGUAUCAGAAUUUCUUAUGUUCUUUCUUUUAGGAAUUUGAGAGCACUGUGUUUGGGAGAAGUUAGGAAACAUAAGGGAUGAAUGAAGCAGUUGAACUUGGAGAUACUGUAGGUGCUAAUACUGGAUCUAAUCUUUCAGAUUUAA
rnacentral:lncRNA from 1 species